rnacentral:rRNA from 1 species
GACGAACGCUGGCGGCGUGCCUAAUACAUGCCAGUAGAACGCACAGUUUAUACCGUAGCUUGCUCCACCAUAAACUGUGAGUUGCGAACGGGUGAGUAACGCGUAGGUAACCUGCCUGGUAGCGGGUGAUAACUAUUGGAAACGAUAGCUAAUACCGCAUAAUAUUGAUUAUUGCAUGAUAAUUGAUUGAACGAUGCUAUUGCAUCACUACCAGAUGGACCUGCGUUGUAUUAGCUAGUAGGUGAGGUAACGGCUCACCUAGGCGACGAUACAUAGCCGACCUGAGAGGGUGAUCGGCCACACUGGGACUGAGACACGGCCCAGACUCUUACGGGAGGCAGCAGUAGGGAAUCUUCGGAAAUGGACGAAAGUCUGACCGAGCAACGCCGCGUGAGUGAAGAAGGGUUUCGGAUCGUAAAGCUCUGUUGUAAGAGAAGAACGGGUGUGAGAGUGGAAAGUUCACACUGUGACGGUAUCUUAACAGAAAGGGACGGCUAACUACGUG